GACGUAGGGUGCAAGCGUUGUCCGGAUUUACUGGGCGUAAAGAGCGCGUAGGCGGCUCGUUAAGUGUGAAGUGAAAUCUCCAGGGCUCAACCCGGAAACUGCUUUACAUACUGGCGAGCUAGAGGAAUGCAGAGGUUAGUGGAAUUCCUGGUGUAGCGGUGAAAUGCGUUGAUAUCAGGAGGAACACCCAUGGCGAAGGGCAGCUAACUGGGCAUUAUCUGACGCUGAGGCG
rnacentral:rRNA from 1 species